CCUCUUUACACAUAGGCACACACAUGCACACACAUACCCGGGCUGACUCCUUCCCUCACGCUAUCCACUUUCGCCUGAGACCGCAGCAAACCCGGUGCUUUGUUUUUUUGGUUUCUUCUUUUUUAUUUGCUUGCUUUGGGUUUUCCCCUCAUGUACAGAGAGACUAGACCCACUUCACCCUUACUCUGCAGAGAGAGCUCCCCUGAAAACAUAGGCCCUGGAUUGUCCAUGCAUCAGACUGCAUGCUACUAAUUGAUUUGUGCAUUUACACCUCCCUGUUAUUUUUGCUCUUUCUAAAAAAUGUUUUGCUCGCUAACUUUAAUUUUGUAUUCAGUCCACUUCGACAAAUUUUUUCACAUACCCAUUCUGGAAGACGGGACGAAGAAAAGAAGAGAACGCUUGCGGAAUGCACAGAUGAAAGGGGACAGCAGAAAAAAAGAGUGAGAAAAUGGAGAGCAUGUUCUGUGGGAGAGCAAGAGAGACCUGACCUACGCAUCCAACAUAGCCACUCCCAUUCCAUAUAGCCCAAGACCUGAAAGCGCACGCGAUGCGAGCGGUGUAGUCAUUGUAUAAGGUAAUAUCUCCAGCAAGUUUGGAGUUUAAGAGAUGAGCCAUUAUGAGGUGGAGCCGUCCACCAACCCAACAACACACUCAACACAAUUGUAUGGUGUCCAAACUAGUGUCAGAUUGACUCUUACUUUCAGGGGACAUCAUAAGUAAGUUUCCCAUGAACUUUUGUUCGCCAUUUUGUAACAAAAGCCUUUAUACACCUCCCACCAUCAUUCAACCAAUGCCUCUGAUUGUGACGUGAUAAUAUUAUAUAUACUCUAUUAUCUUUGUUGUGUUGUAUUUUAAUCCUCAAAUAGAUUCACUUGAGUCUAUUUAGAGACAUAUCUAAGGGUGUUUCGUUGUCCCUGAGACCCUUAACCUGUGACUACUUUAAAGGUCACAGGUGAGGACCUUGGGAACAAGGCUGCAUGCAUGUUCAUCAGAAUUUGGGUGAAUAAAAAUAAAACUAUUAGAAGAGGAGUUGAAUGAUAUAAUCGGGAUCAAGAAGAUGUCAUCAGAUGAACAACCAAGAAAGCAUGGAACCACCAAAAGCAUCAGUUACCCUACCAGAAUUGUAACAUGUUCCAUUGCAUGUGAAAUGACUUGAUAACCUGUGUCCAAUGCAAUUGUAAUGUAUUUAGAAACUAAAAAGGCACUCCAAACAACCUUUAAGGUGUUUGUGAAAGCAAAGACCAGUGGAAUCCAUUUUUAAUGUGUUAAAAUUUGACUUGUGUUACAAGAAAAUGUGUUAUUGUGAAAUGAUAGUAUAUCAAACAAGUUUUUAGUGUUUACAUUUCUAGUAGGUUACCCUCACAAAAUUGUCUUUAAUAGAAUAAUCAUAUGUGUAUUGUUAGCAAAUAAUAUCGCUAAAGUUCAAUGUACUAGAUAGAGGAAAGACCAAUUUUAUUGGAAAAUAUGGAUAAGGAAGGUAUCAUGUUCAUGAAUGACAUUGUAAAUCAGGACGGUAAAAUUAUGUCACACAAGCAACAAACAAAGGUGUAUGGAGUAUAACCAACUCAUCACAGCUCUACGACAAAAAUGAAAGAGACAAUUACUCAAAAGAGAAAGGAAUUCAUUGUUUUUUCUGCCUCCAAUGAAAAACCAGGCAUGGCUUAAAAUGAAUAGUAUAAAUCGUAAAAUGUAUCAGUUUCAUUUAAGGUCAAGAGGUUUGACAACUAUUCGGCAUAAAAUUCAAGAUAGUUGGGAACAGAUUUUUGAUGUCCCAACUGUCACGUCCUGACCAGUAAUAGGGGUUAUUUGUUAUUGUAGUUUAGUCAGGACGUGGCAGAGGGUAUUUGUUUUAUGUGGUUCGGGGUGGUGGUUUGUUUAGUAGGGUAUUUGAUUUAUGUAUUCCGGGGGUUUUUGGGCACUGUUCUAUGUUAGAGUAUUUCUAUGUUCUGUCUAGUCUUUUGUAUUUCUAUGUUUUGUUAAUUGGGGUUGGACUCUCAAUUGGAGGCAGGUGUUUUCUAGUUGCCUCUGAUUGAGAGUCCUAUAUAUAUGU